rnacentral:rRNA from 1 species
CAGCCGCCGCGGUAAUAUGUGGGUGGCAAGCGUUGUCCGGAAUUAUUGGGCGUAAAGCGCGCGCAGGCGGAUAGGUCAGUCUGUCUUAAAAGUUCGGGGCUUAACCCCGUGAUGGGAUGGAAACUGCCAAUCUAGAGUAUCGGAGAGGAAAGUGGAAUUCCUAGUGUAGCGGUGAAAUGCGUAGAUAUUAGGAAGAACACCAGUGGCGAAGGCGACUUUCUGGACGAAAACUGACGCUGAGGCGCGAAAGCCAGGGGAGCGAACGGGAUUAGAUACCCGUGUAGUCCCUGUCUCUUAUACA